rnacentral:rRNA from 1 species
UACAGAGGGGGCAAGCGUUGUUCGGAAUUACUGGGCGUAAAGGGCGCGUAGGCGGCCUGUUAAGUCGGACGUGAAAUCCCUCGGCUUAACCGGGGAACUGCGUCCGAUACUGGUUGGCUUGAGUUUGGGAGAGGGAUGCGGAAUUCCAGGUGUAGCGGUGAAAUGCGUAGAGAUCGGGAGGAACACCGGUGGCGAAGGCGGGUCUCUGGGCAUUUCCUGACGCUGAGGCGCGAAAGCGUGGGGAGCAAACGGG